GAAGUAUAGUGGAGACCGAAAUGGAGGAAGAAAAAAAAGAGCAACAGAAAAAGAAAAGCAGAAGCCUCAAGCAGAUUCCAGCAGCUGUGAAAGUGAAUGAGUAUGCUGCUACUUCUCCUCCGCUCCGUCUUCAUCAUCAGAGCCACACACAAUCUCUAAUUUGCUUCAAAAAACUCUGCAGAAUAUGGAAGAGAAUCUGCACAUUUUCUCAUUAAACUGCAAUAAGUUAAUUUU